GGAUGAGAGGGCAAUCUGGCUACAUCUGUCACUCCAUUGAUCGCUGGGUUUGAUCUAACUGAUUUGGCUGGCUAGGUGGGUGUCUCUUUCCUCCCUCAGUACUCAUGUGUCUCCUUCUCAAGCUGCCAGUGCCCUUGGUCAGGGAGGAUGACCUUCCCUGAGAGAUGAGGACCAUUCUUUGGGUCAAGGGUAUAGGAAAAGGUGUGCUUUCCUGCUAGAACUUCUAAAAAAUCUCUCAAGGCUCAUUUGUAGGAGAAAGUAGGAUAGUCAAGUUUCUAAGCCUCCAGACACAUCCAAAUGAGGCACUACAUGUGAGAGUCUGCCUUUCUUU
rnacentral:snRNA from 1 species